GACGAACGCUGGCGGCGUGCUUAACACAUGCAAGUCGAACGGGAUGAUCUUAAAGCUUGCUUUUAGAGAAUCUAGUGGCAAACGGGUGAGUAACACGUAGACAACCUGCCGACAGGAUGGGGACAACAUUCCGAAAGGAAUGCUAAUACCGAAUGAAGCGGAGGAGAGGCAUCUCUCUUCCGUGAAAGAUGGCCUCUUUUUAUGCUAUCACCUGUCGAUGGGUCUGCGUCUGAUUAGCUGGUUGGUGAGGUAACGGCUCACCAAGGCGACGAUCAGUAGCCGGUCUGAGAGGAUGAACGGCCACAUUGGGACUGAGACACGGCCCAGACUCCUACGGGAGGCAGCAGUGGGGAAUCUUCCGCAAUGGGCGCAAGCCUGACGGAGCAACGCCGCGUGAGUGAAGAAGGUCUUCGGAUCGUAAAGCUCUGUUGACGGGGACGAACGUGCGAGAGGUGAAUAAACUC
rnacentral:rRNA from 1 species